rnacentral:rRNA from 1 species
CACAUGCUGUGAGCUCGAUGAGUAGGGCGGGACACGUGGUAUCCUGUCUGAAUAUGGGGGGACCAUCCUCCAAGGCUAAAUACUCCUGACUGACCGAUAGUGAACCAGUACCGUGAGGGAAAGGCGAAAAGAACCCCGGCGAGGGGAGUGAAAAAGAACCUGAAACCGUGUACGUACAAGCAGUGGGAGCACGCUUAGGCGUGUGACUGCGUACCUUUUGUAUAAUGGGUCAGCGACUUAUAUUCUGUAGCAAGGUUAACCGAAUAGGGGAGCCGAAGGGAAACCGAGUCUUAACUGGGCGUUAAGUUGCAGGGUAUAGACCCGAAACCCGGUGAUCUAGCCAUGGGCAGGUUGAAGGUUGGGUAACACUAACUGGAGGACCGAACCGACUAAUGUUGAAAAAUUAGCGGAUGACUUGUGGCUGGGGGUGAAAGGCCAAUCAAACCGGGAGAUAGCUGGUUCUCCCCGAAAGCUAUUUAGGUAGCGCCUCGUGAAUUCAUCUCCGGGGGUAGAGCACUGUUUCGGCAAGGGGGUCAUCCCGACUUACCAACCCGAUGCAAACUACGAAUACCGGAGAAUGUUAUCACGGGAGACACACGGCGGGUGCUAACGUCCGUCGUGAAGAGGGAAACAACCCAGACCGCCAGCUAAGGUCCCAAAGUCAUGGUUAAGUGGGAAACGAUGUGGGAAGGCCCAGACAGCCAGGAUGUUGGCUUAGAAGCAGCCAUCAUUUAAAGAAAGCGUAAUAGCUCACUGGUCGAGUCGGCCUGCGCGGAAGAUGUAACGGGGCUAAACCAUGCACCGAAGCUGCGGCAGCGACGCUUAUGCGUUGUUGGGUAGGGGAGCGUUCUGUAAGCCUG